UACGUAGGGUGCAAGCGUUGCCCGGAUUUAUUGGGCGUAAAGGGCGCGUAGGCGGCUCGGCACGUCCGUUGUGAAAUCGCUCGGCUCAACUGGGCGGGGUCGGCGGAUACGGCGUGGCUGGAGCAAGCUAGGGGGCAAUGGAAUUCCCGGUGUAGUGGUGGAAUGCGUAGAUAUCGGGAGGAACACCAGUGGCGAAGGCGGUUGCCUGGAGCUUUGCUGACGCUGAGGUUCGAAAGCUCGGGGAGCAAACAGG
rnacentral:rRNA from 1 species